rnacentral:rRNA from 1 species
GUCCACGCCGUAAACGAUGGGUACUAGGUGUCUGGGGAGCGACCCCUGGGUGCCGGCGCUAACGCAUGAAGUACCCCGCCUGGGAGUACGGCCGCAAGGCUGAAACUCAAAGGAAUUGACGGGGCCCGCACAAGCGGUGGAGCAUGUGGUUUAAUUCGACGCAACGCGAAGAACCUUACCUGGGCUUGACAUGCUGGAGAAAGCUCGCAGAAAACGUGGGCCCCUCUUCGGAGUUCCAGCACAGAUGCUGCAUGGCUGUCGU